CACCAAGGCGACGAUCCCUAGCUGGUGUGAGAGGAUGAUCAGCCACACUGGAACUGAGAUACGGUCCAGACUCCUACGGGAGGCAGCAGUGGGGAAUAUUGGACAAUGGGCGCAAGCCUGAUCCAGCCAUGCCGCGUGUGUGAAGAAGGCCUUCGGGUUGUAAAGCACUUUCAGUUGGGAGGAAGGGUUGUGUGUUAAUAGUACACAGCCUUGACGUUACCAACAGAAGAAGCACCGGCUAACUCUGUGCCAGCAGCCGCGGUAAUACAGAGGGUGCAAGCGUUAAUCGGAAUUACUGGGCGUAAAGCGCACGUAGGCGGUUUUUUAAGUCAGAUGUGAAAGCCCCGGGCUCAACCUGGGAAUUGCAUUUGAAACUGGAAAACUAGAGUGUGUGAGAGGGGGGUAGAAUUCCAAGUGUAGCGGUGAAAUGCGUAGAGAUUUGGAGGANAUNACCAGNUGGCGAAGGCGGCCCCCUGGCACAACACUGACGCUCAGGUGCGAAAGCGUGGGGAGCAAACGGGAUUAGAUACCCUGGUAGUCCACGCCGUAAACGAUGUCUACUAGCUGUUCGUGACCUUGUGUCGUGAGUAGCGCAGCUAACGCACUAAGUAGANNCCGNNCCUGGGGAGUACGGUCGCANANGAUUAAAACUCAAAUGAAUUGACGGGGGCCCGCACAAGCGGUGGAGCAUGUGGUUUAAUUCAACGCAACGCGAAGAACCUUACCUACUCUUGACAUCCAGAGAAGGCUGCAAAGAUGCGGUUGUGCCUUCGGGAACUCUGAGACAGGUGCUGCAUGGCUGUCGUCAGCUCGCGUUGUGAAAUGUUGUGUUAAGUCCCACAACGACCGCAACCCUUAUCCUUAUUUGUCUUGAAAGUAAUGAU
rnacentral:rRNA from 1 species